rnacentral:sRNA from 1 species
UAGAAUGACAAAACAAAGGUUCAUACCAAU